AGAACACGAGCAGGAGCAAGGUGUCGGGUGAUGGGACGUCGGGAACAACGCAGCCCCUGGGAGCACAGCAGGCCCCCACAGCAGUGGGACAGGUCCCCCCAGAGCCAGCAGUGCCCCACAGGGCAGCACAGGGGUCUUGUCAGGGGACCUUGCAAGGUCUGCCCCAGGUAUCUCAUCCUUGCAGAUAGCUCUGCUCCUGCAUUGUGUUUUCAGAGCACAAGUCAGCAUUUCAAGGGCCUAAUUCUGAGUAACAGUUUGAUGUGAGAUGGGCCUGCUUCUCUUCUUCCCUUCCCAGCCCUUAGCCCUUUUAGAAACAUUCAAGGUGGCAUGCAGAGGUCAGGUUCCUUCCGUGUGGCUGGAGAGAAGAGCUGUGUUCAGCUUUGCAGAGAACAGGUUACCUGUGAGCAGGACAACCCCAAAUACGGGAAAAAAAUUACAUCUGGCAACAUCUGGGAACCAGAAGAAGCCUAAAGCAGAAAGCAGAGAGGGAGGAUGUGUCAGAGAUUGACACCAUUAAGUUUUUUUAAAGCUAAUCUAUCUCUACCUUCACAGUGGUAGGUGGAAGUGGAAAGAAAACUCAUUGUGUGUUUAAAAAACAGGUCAUCUUCAAGAAAUGUCACAGAAACCUUGAGCAGACAUGAGCAAACAGCCCUGGGGGAGUAAUUUGUCUUUGCUGUCAAGAGGAAAAUUAAGACUCCAGGGGACACAGAGGCUGGGUUUGAUGGAUGCGUGAAGCAGAAGGCAAGCGGGUCAUCAUUCCUGUCCAGCAGGAAAACAGGUUCUUCCCCUGGAGAAAAGUGACUCUUUGCACCUGUGGGGAGGAGAGAGGCAAUGAGCAAAUAAAUGGUGGAAAGUCCCUACAAUCUCAUUUGGAAUUGACAGCAAUAAGCUCACUCAGGAGCUGGGGGAUGGCUGUGCUGCCUGACACCUUUGUGGC